GGGGUUGUGGGUUAACUUGGUUAGACUUUCGGGUUUGGGACCCGACGAUCCCGGUUCAAAUCCGGGCAGCCUCA
rnacentral:tRNA from 1 species